UCGACUGUUGUUUCAAACAUAGUGCAGUUAUGAACAUCAAUAAAUACGACGGAAUUCCCUAUAUCCAAUAAACAUGAUGGACUUCCAGGAAUACACUGUGAGUUUUAAAAAUGAACGUUUUAUCGAUUCGUUCACUUUGUGGGUGAUUUUGGUUCAUGGAAAGCGCCAGGCGAACAGCAUCGCGAUCUGAUUGGAUUACGCAAGUGUGAUGCAGUUCGUGCAGACCUCUUUCGACACUUUGGGGUAUGAGACACAUACUCCGAUUUACCUUCACAUCUAUGACACGUACUCCAUCAGGAUGUGAUGAAUGUAGUACGACUUCUGUACCGGUUCGAUCCAGUUUGGUCCCGGACGACAGGCAUUGAUCUUGGAGGAGUGGCACCUUUAAGCUCAUAAUGACUGGAGAAGGGAGGAGUAAAGCUGAUCCUGAUCUGAAGAUUGGAGCCAAGUGUCAGCCAGAGGGAACUUCAUAUUGACUGCUUCUCACAUUGAGCGUAUGAGGAACACUGGGGUUCAUCUGCUCCAGACGCCAGCAGCUAAGUUCUGAUUUACACCUCAGAGCCUCAAUAAGUGAUUUACAUCCCCGCUGAGAACUUGAGAGGAUUUUUAGAUAUAUAAGAAACGUAUUUAGUUUGAAUCUAUUAUGUGCGAGUUGCUAUGAAG